rnacentral:tRNA from 1 species
UCCCUCAUAGCUCAGUCGGUAAACAAUCUGCCUGCAAGGCAGGACACCCAGGUUCAAUUCCUGGUUUGGGAA